rfam:Danaus plexippus plexippus isolate F-2 unplaced genomic scaffold DPSCF300028, whole genome shotgun sequence.
CUAGGCCGGUUGGCGUGUGGGGUAAGAUCGUGGGAUCGCUUUGCGCGAUUGCUGGUGUACUUACCAUCGCUCUGCCGGUACCCGUCAUCGUGUCUAAC